rnacentral:rRNA from 1 species
UACGUAGGGGGCGAGCGUUGUCCGAAGUUACUGGGCGUAAAGCGCACGUAGGCGGCUUUGCAAGUUAGAGGUGAAAGCCCGGGGCUCAACUCCGGAAUUGCCUUUAAAACUGCAUCGCUAGAAUUGUGGAGAGGUAAGUGGAAUUCCGAGUGUAGAGGUGAAAUUCGUAGAUAUUCGGAAGAACACCAGUGGCGAAGGCGACUUACUGGACACAUAUUGACGCUGAGGUGCGAAAGCGUGGGGAGCAAACAGG